rnacentral:rRNA from 1 species
GUGCGUUGGCGGCGUGCACACUAUUACAGUCGAACGAUGAACCACCUUCGGGUGGGGAUUAGUGGCGAACGGGUGAGUAACACGUGGGCAAUCUGCCCUGCACUCUGGGACAAGCCCUGGAAACGGGGUCUAAUACCGGAUACUGAUCCUCGCGGGCAUCUGCGAGGUUCGAAAGCUCCGGCGGUGCAGGAUGAGCCCGCGGCCUAUCAGCUUGUUGGUGAGGUAAUGGCUCACCAAGGCGACGACGGGUAGCCGGCCUGAGAGGGCGACCGGCCACACUGGGACUGAGACACGGCCCAGACUCCUACGGGAGGCAGCAGUGGGGAAUAUUGCACAAUGGGCGAAAGCCUGAUGCAGCGACGCCGCGUGAGGGAUGACGGCCUUCGGGUUGUAAACCUCUUUCAGCAGGGAAGAAGCGAAAGUGACGGUACCUGCAGAAGAAGCGCCGGCUAACUACGUGCCAGCAGCCGCGGUAAUACGUAGGGCGCAAGCGUUGUCCGGAAUUAUUGGGCGUAAAGAGCUCGUAGGCGGCUUGUCACGUCGGUUGUGAAAGCCCGGGGCUUAACCCCGGGUCUGCAGUCGAUACGGGCAGGCUAGAGUUCGGUAGGGGAGAUCGGAAUUCCUGGUGUAGCGGUGAAAUGCGCAGAUAUCAGGAGGAACACCGGUGGCGAAGGCGGAUCUCUGGGCCGAUACUGACGCUGAGGAGCGAAAGCGUGGGGAGCGAACAGGAUUAGAUACCCUGGUAGUCCACGCCGUAAACGGUGGGCACUAGGUGUGGGCAACAUUCCACGUUGUCCGUGCCGCAGCUAACGCAUUAAGUGCCCCGCCUGGGGAGUACGGCCGCAAGGCUAAAACUCAAAGGAAUUGACGGGGGCCCGCACAAGCGGCGGAGCAUGUGGCUUAAUUCGACGCAACGCGAAGAACCUUACCAAGGCUUGACAUACACCGGAAAACCCUGGAGACAGGGUCCCCCUUGUGGUCGGUGUACAGGUGGUGCAUG